ACCCCCAAGUAUUAAAGUGAUGCCUGCCCAGUGAUAUAGUACAUUCAACGGCCGCGGUAUCCUAACCGUGCAAAGGUAGCGCAAUCAAUUGUCUCAUAAAUCGGGACCUGUAUGAACGGCUAAACGAGAUCUUAACUGUCUCUUGCAGAUACUCAGUGAAAUUGAUCCCCCUGUGCAAAAGCAGGGAUAUCUACAUAAGACGAGAAGACCCUGUGGAACUUAAAAAUCACGGCCAUCCACACACUAAAUCAAACCCGACCGGCCCACUAACCCACGAGCACUGGUCCGUAUUUUUUGGUUGGGGCGACCUUGGAGAAAAACACAUCCUCCAAAAAUAAGACUACUUCCUCUUAACUAAGAGCAACCCCUCAACGUACUAAUAGUACCCAGACCCAGCAUAACUGAUCAAUGAACCAAGCUACCCCAGGGAUAACAGCGCAAUCUCCUUUAAGAGCCCAUAUCGACAAGGAGGUUUACGACCUCGAUGUUGGAUCAGGACAUCCUAAUGGUGCAGCCGCUAUUAAGGGUUCGUUUGUUCAACGAUUAACAGUCCUACGUGAUCUGAUUUCCAAACCGGA
rnacentral:rRNA from 1 species